UCCUGUAGCUCAGCUGGUAAAGAAUCUGCCUGCAAAGCAGAUGACCCUGGUUCAAUUCCUGGGUCAGGAA
rnacentral:tRNA from 1 species